rnacentral:tRNA from 1 species
ACCCGGGUGGCUCAGUUGGUUGAGCAUCUGACUUUGGCUCAGGUCAUGAUCUCAUGGUUCCUGGGUU